UCGGCAACCAGUAUGUCCCAGGAGGCCGC
rnacentral:piRNA from 1 species